UACGAGGGGGGCGAGCGUUGUUCGGAAUUAUUGGGCGUAAAGGGCUCGUAGGCGGCCAACUAAGUCAGACGUGAAAUCCCUCGGCUUAACCGGGGAACUGCGUCUGAUACUGGAUGGCUAGAGUGUGGGAGAGGGGGGUGGAAUUCCGCGUGUAGCAGUGAAAUGCGUAGAGAUGCGGAGGAACACCGAUGGCGAAGGCAGCCCCCUGGGCUAGCACUGACGCUCAGGCACGAAAGCGUGGGGAGCAAACAGG
rnacentral:rRNA from 1 species